rnacentral:rRNA from 1 species
UACGUAGGUGGCAAGCGUUGUCCGGAUUUACUGGGCGUAAAGAGCGCGCAGGCGGUCGUUCAAGUCGCGUGUGAAAGCCCCCGGCUCAACUGGGGAGGGUCACGCGAUACUGAUCGACUCGAAGGCAGGAGAGGGAAGCGGAAUUCCCGGUGUAGUGGUGAAAUGCGUAGAUAUCGGAAGGAACACCAGUGGCGAAAGCGGCUUCCUGGUCCAGCACCGACGUUCAGGCACGAAAGCGUGGGGAGCAAACAGG